rnacentral:rRNA from 1 species
UACGGGGGGGGCAAGCGUUGUUCGGAAUUACUGGGCGUAAAGGGCUCGUAGGUGGCCAACUAAGUCAGACGUGAAAUCCCUCAGCUUAACUGGGGAACUGCGUCUGAUACUGGAUGGCUUGAGUUUGGGAGAGGGAUGCGGAAUUUCAGGUGUAGCGGUGAAAUGCGUAGAUAUCUGGAGGAACACCGGUGGCGAAGGCGGCAUCCUGGACCAACACUGACACUGAGGAGCGAAAGCCAGGGGAGCAAACGGG